rnacentral:misc_RNA from 1 species
AAGUCGUAACAAGGUUUCCGUAGGUGAACCUGCGGAAGGAUCAUUAACUAAUAAUGGUAGAAUUAUUCUGCCUAUAACCUUUGUGCAACGUCUUGACAAUAUAUUAUGUAUAUAGUCGAGACACACGCAGUAUGCGUGGAUCUAUACGUUUAUUUAGAGUCUUAUUUAAUAUCUAAUAUUAAAAACAACUUUUAACAAUGGAUCUCUAGGCUCUU